GAUGUUCGGGGAGCCCUUUGCGGCAUGGAGGUGGCUGGCGGUGGGAGAGCGAGUAUGCGGUCCAUAUUGUUCCAGGCGGUCUGCGAGGGCUGCCUUCUCCGAAGAUUCUCGGCCCCACCCCCUCCCCGAGCGAUUUUGCGGUGGCCGCGGAGGAGCUGCUUGGAGCUGGGCUGCCGCGCAAUAUGGAAGGCUGCGCGCCGCGCAUUGUGCGGCUCGCCCAUUGUCUGCCUGCUGCCGGCUCGGGCCGGGGGCCGGCCGCGGCUGCUGCUCGGCCCCGGCGCGGCCUCCUUCCCCUGGGCUCCCCUGUCCCCAGGAGCUGGGCUUGGGAGGGGACUGUAAAGAAUGGAGAAACGUGACCCGUUUCUUCAGAGUGGAAACAGGAUUCACCUGGAGUGGGUGGGUUUCUUCUUCCCUGUUCUAAGUGGAGCAUGAGUUUCGACAGAUCAGUCGAUCUGUCUAUCUAUCUGUAUCUCAUUCUGCCUUCUCUUC
rnacentral:lncRNA from 1 species